UAAUACCGGAUGGCAUAUUUUUCCCGCAUGGGAUAAUUAUAAAAGAAUUUCGGUUGUCGAUGGGGGAUGCGUUCCAUUAGGCAGUUGGCGGGGUAACCGCCCCACCAAAACCAACGAUGGAUAGGGGUUCUGAGAGGAAGGUCCCCCACAUUGGAACUGAGACACGGUCCAAAUUCCUACGGGAGGCAGCAGUGAGGAAUAUUGGUCAAUGGACGAGAGUCUGAUCCAGCCAAGUAGCGUGAAGGAUGACUGCCCUAUGGGUUGUAAACUUCUUUUAUACGGGAAUAAAGUUAGCCACGUGUGGCUUUUUGUAUGUACCGUAUGAAUAAGGAUCGGCUAACUCCGUGCCAGCAGCCGCGGUAAUACGGAGGAUCCGAGCGUUAUCCGGAUUUAUUGGGUUUAAAGGGAGCGUAGGCGGGUUGUUAAGUCAGUUGUGAAAGUUUGCGGCUCAACCGUAAAAUUGCAGUUGAUACUGGCGACCUUGAGUGCAACAGAGGUAGGCGGAAUUCGUGGUGUAGCGGUGAAAUGCUUAGAUAUCACGAAGAACUCCGAUUGCGAAGGCAGCUUACUGGAUUGUAACUGACGCUGAUGCUCGAAAGUGUGGGUAUCAAACAGGAUUAGAUUCCCCUGUUAGUCACCCCAGUAAACGAUGAAUACUUCGCUGUUGGGGGAAAUACAGUCAGCGGCCAAGCGAAAGCAUUAAGUAUUCCACCCGGGGAGUACGCCGGCAACGGUGAAACUCAAAGGAAUGACGGGGGGCCCGCACAAGCGGAGGAACAUGUGGUUUAAUUCGAUGAUACGCGAGGAACCUUACCCGGGCUUAAAUUGCAACUGACUGAACCGGAAACGGUUCUUUCUUCGGACAGUUGUGAAGGUGCUGCAUGGUUGUCGUCAGCUCGUGCCGUGAGGUGUCGGCUUAAGUGCCAUAACGAGCGCAACCCUUAUCGAUAGUUACUAGCAGGUCAUGCUGAGGACUCUAUUGAGACUGCCGUCGUAAGAUGUGAGGAAGGUGGGGAUGACGUCAAAUCAGCACGGCCCUUACGUCCGGGGCUACACACGUGUUACAAUGGGGGGUACAGAAGGCAGCUACACGGCGACGUGGUGCUAAUCCCGAAAGCCUCUCUCAGUUCGGAUUGGAGUCUGCAACCCGACUCCAUGAAGCUGGAUUCGCUAGUAAUCGCGCACCAGCCACGGCGCGGUGAAUACGUUCCCGGGCCUUGCACUCAACGCCCGUC
rnacentral:rRNA from 1 species